ACAGGUGGUGGUGCAGUGUGCACGAUCGAGCCUGAUGCUCGCGCGACUGGUGACCUGGCUCCGGCCCGCACUGCAAGGCGGGGGGAGGGCUGACCUGACCAUCCGUAUCCGUACGCGAGACCAGGCUGAUGACAGAGCCGGCGGAAGACGUCCGCGCGCGGUCUGCGUGUCGGCGGUCGGUGGACUCGAGCUCGAGGUGGGUAGGGUAUGGAAAUUUCCCACCAAAGUCACGAUACACAUACACGCGUCUACGCGGGCCAAAAGUGAAGAAAGGCCAACUCGGCCCACGAAUGCAAAUUAGGGAGGCCAUUAUAAAAAGUACAAUGGGCCCUUAACGCAGGCCUGGUGAAAUCACAGGCUCGGAGUGAUGAGGGCCGCCAACAGUAUACUACACUACACCACAUUUAGGGGAAUAAGUCUACUUUUCCUCCUUCAACUUUCACGAAAGUCUGCUUUUCCUCCCUCAACUCCAAAAUCAGACAAACUACCUCCCUCAACUUUUGAAACCGUGCAUUUUACCUUCCCGGAGUGGUUUCGAAGGCGGUUUUGGUACAGUGAAUAGUAGUUUUGCUGUUUAGCCCUUGUUUAGUUGACCCCAAAAACUAAAAGCUUUUCAAGAUUCUCCAUUACAUCGAAUCUUGCAUCACAUGCAAUGAGCAUUAAAUAUAGAUGAAAAUAAAAACUAAUUACAAAGUUUGUCUGUAAAUCACGAGACGAAUCUUUUAAGCCUAGUUACUCCAUGAUUGAACAAUGUUUGUCAAAUAAAAAUAAAAAUGCUACAGUGUGAAACUCCAAAAAAAUUGGAUCUAAAAAAGGCCUUAGUCUUUUUUAAAAAAUAUAUAUUUUGGCUAAAUCUAUAAAAAAUCAUAGUAAAUCACAAAAAAAUCAUAAAAUAAAAAAAAAUCCAAUUUUUUCGGACUUCACAUAAGUAGAUCUACACAAUGAACAUAUAAUAUAGUAUGCUUUAGUACAAAGUUUUUGCUAUAAAGGUUUUAUCUUUUUUAUUUAUUUCGGCUAAAUAUUUGAAAAAUCAUAGUAAAUUACAGAAAAAUCAUAAAAUAUAAAAUAUAAUUUUGUUAGACUCCAC
rnacentral:lncRNA from 1 species